GGAUUGUAAACUCCUGUUGUUGAGGAAGAUAAUGACGGUACUCAACAAGGAAGUGACGGCUAACUACGUGCCAGCAGCCGCGGUAAAACGUAGGUCACAAGCGUUGUCCGGAAUUACUGGGUGUAAAGGGAGCGCAGGCGGGAAGACAAGUUGGAAGUGAAAUCCAUGGGCUCAACCCAUGAACUGCUUUCAAAACUGUUUUUCUUGAGUAGUGCAGAGGUAGGCGGAAUUCCCGGUGUAGCGGUGGAAUGCGUAGAUAUCGGGAGGAGCACCAGUGGCGAAGGCGGCCUACUGGGCACCAACUGACGCUGAGGCUCGAAAGUGUGGGUAGCAAACAGGAUUAGAUACCCUGGUAGUCCACACUGUAAA
rnacentral:rRNA from 1 species